AUGAAUCUAGCUCUGGACAGUUAUAAGCAAAGAAAAACUAACGGAAAAAUACAGAGGCCUGAAGAAUCACAGAGGGAAACUCAUUUGUUCCUCUGGCAGCUCUCCCCAAGGACACCUGUGAGACAAAGUCAGAAGUGGCUUCCCUGGUGACCCAGAGAGACCACAGGGCUCUUGCCGCUGCUUCCUCUACUCCCGUAUUUUGCCGAGCUCUCUAAAUUGUCUCAGCUCUAGCCUGAAUCUAUGGUUUCAUGGAGAGCUCCCUAAAAUCUGUUGACAGAGGAAGAGAAGACUUGAACCUGGUUUACAGAUGGUACUGCACAAUAUGCAGGAACCACAUGAAAGCAGGCAGUUGAAGCACUGCAGCCUCUCUCUGGGACAUCUCCUAAGAAAAAUGAGGGAGCAUCCUCCCAUCCUCCAGGGUCUUUCUCUGGCACGAUCUAGGCUCACUGCAACCUCCACCUCCUGGAUUCAAGAGAUUCUCUCACCUCAGCCUCCCGAGUACCUAGGAUUACAGGUUCCUGCCACCAAGCCUGGCUUGUAUUUUUAAUAGAGACGAGGUUUCACCAUGUAGGCAAAGCUGGUCUUAAACUCCUGACCUCAAGUGACCCACCCACCUCAGCCUUCCAAAGUGCUGGGAUUAUAGGCAUGAGCUACCCCACCUGGCCUCGAUCUGUAAGUGUUUUCUAAUUUCCCUUGUGAAUACUUUUUUUGACCCAUUGGUUGUUCAAGACUAUGUUGUUUAAUUUUGACAUAUGUGUGAAUUUUUUACUUAUACUUCUAUAAUUCAUUUCUAGCUUCAUUCCAUUGUGGCCGGAGAAGAUACUCUGUAUGAUAUCUACCUAAAAUCUGUAGAGGCUUGUUUUGUGUUCUAAAAUGUGGUUUAUCCUAGAGAAUAUUCCAUUUGCUUCUGAGAGAAUUGUGUAUCUGCUAUUGUACUAUGAAUGUUUGAUAUAUGUCUAUUAGAUCUGAUUGGUUUAUACUGUUAGUCAAGUUCACUAACUCUUCCCCAACCUACUAUCUAUUCAUUAUGAAAAAUAGGGCGUUGAAGUUUCCAAUUAUUAUAACUCUCUUUUCUGCCUUCAAAUUUGUCAAUGUUUACUUUAUGUAUCUUGUGACUCUGAAGUUUGGUGCAAAUAUAUUUAUAAUUGUUAUAUUUUCUUACUAUAGUGACUCUUACAAUAUACAAUGUAUUUAUUUGAUCUUGCAAUAGAUCUUGCCUUAAAUCUAUUUUGGCUGAGAUUAAUAUAGUACUCUAGUUCUCUGUUGGUUGCUAUUUUCAUGACUUUUUUUUUAUUCUUUCACUUUCCACCUAUUUGUAGUUAUAAUCUAAAGUGAAUCUUGUAGACAGCAUACGGUUGGAUCAUGUUUUAAUGUAACUCAAUUCUGCCAAUUUCUGACUUUUGAUUUAAGAGUUUAAUUCAUUUCCAAAAAUAUAAUGUUAAGGAAAGAUUUAUUUCUGCUGUUUUGCUAUUUAUUUUCUCUGUGUGUUAUACCUUUUUUGUUUCUCAUUGUCUCCAAUACGUUUUUAUGUUUAGUUGAUUUUGUUAAAUGUAUCAUUUGUUAUCUUCUCAUUUCCUUUUGAGUGCAUUUUUCAGAUAUUUUCCUAAUGGUUACCAUGGGAAUCACAAUUAACAUCUUACAUUUAUAACAAUCCAGAUUCAAUUGAGACCAACUUAGCUUCAUUAGCAAACAUUUUGCUUCUAAUAAGAUCUGCUCCUCCAUUAUGUUGAUGUCACAAAUCAUGUAUUUUGUAUUGUAUGCCCAAUAUAAUUAUUUUUUAUGGAUUUUUCUUUUAUAUUAUUAAAGAGAUAAAAAGUUCAAUUAUAAACCAAAAUAUAGUAAUGUUGGCUUUCAGUGGAGAUUUUUUAUUUCUUUGUACAACUUCUAGUUACUGACUUUUUGUUUCAACUUUACGGUCCAUCUUUAGCUUUUUGUGGAAAGGUGGUCUGUUGGUAACAAUCUUCCUCAGAUUUUGUUAAACCUGAAAAUGUUUUUAUUUCUUCUGUAUUUCUUAAAAAAUUGGUAAAAUACAUAUAAACUCUACCAUCUUAACCUUUUUUAUGAGUACAAUUUAUUAGCAUUAGGUACAUUUAUAUUACUGAGCAACUGUCACCACUAUCCAUCUUGAAA
rnacentral:lncRNA from 1 species